rnacentral:rRNA from 1 species
UACGGAGGGUGCAAGCGUUAUCCGGAUUCACUGGGUUUAAAGGGUGCGUAGGAGGGCAGGGAAGUCCGUGGUGAAAUCCUAGAGCUUAACUCUAGAACUGCCGUGGAUACUCUCUGUCUUGAAUCCCGUGGAGAUGAGCGGAAGUAUGUCAUGUAGCGGUGAAAUGCUUAGAUAUGACAUAGAACACCAAUUGCGAAGGCAGCUCGUUACACGAAGAUUGACUCUGAGGCGCGAAAGCGUGGGGAUCAAACAGG